GCGAGAGUGGCGAAACUGGUAGACGCACUGGACUUAGGAUCCAGCCCUGCCUGCAGGAUGGGGGUUCGAGUCCCCCCUCUCGCACCA
rnacentral:tRNA from 1 species